UAAUUUCUGUGAGCAGUCUACCCAUUAUUUUUGAGUACAACCAAAGAAAAUGGAAUCUAGGUGUAAUCAUUUACCUCCAGUAAAAUCAACACUAAUUAAUUUGGUCCACACAUUAAGUUAUGAAGCUACAAAGUUAGGGUUGAGAAAAUAAUCUAAAAAUUCGUCUAAAACCGUGUUCACCCAGAAUCUUCCCCACACCUCUCACUUCCACCUAGAGCACUUCGUCCUGGCCCACUUGGCAGCCUCUCCAGCUCGCCCUUUCUCUGUGCCUCACCCUCAGCCGACCAAGAACACAGAGAGGGAGAGAUCGAGCGAGCCGACGCGUGGCCACAACGUGUCGACGACCUCGGGCUUUCCUUUUCUUGCUCUCUUCUCCUCCAGUCUGAGUCGCCAUUCCUCACUCAUCACUCAGAGCCGAAGAAGCCGAGGGGAGCAGGUCCUCUGCCUCUCCGUCACCAGCGACCUCACCACCGGCCAUGGAGGUGACGACCAUCGCUAUCUCCGUUUGAGUCAAGCCACCGGAACGUGACCACGCCAACGACGCCCUGGAGCACGCACCGGAGCGCCGCCGCUUCAACCAUCGUCGUCGUCCGGCCAUUCUCGUCCACCUCGGAGCAAGCCGCUGCGCCAUCGUCAUCGUCUCAACCUCCUCUUCAAUACGCCUCAAGAACCCUAGCCGGAGAUGUGAAGGACUCGGAGAACACAUCUUUUCUUCACCAGCGCCGAUCUAGAAUCGCCUCUGCCGUCGAUUACCGCUGACUCGCUCGUCGUCCUGUUCGAGCCGUCGCCGUUCACCCGAGGAGGAGCGCCGCCGUCGAACCGUUCCAACCGAAGCCGCUGCUAUCCAAGCUUCAGCGAUUUCUUCCUACAGCUUGGUGAGCCUCCUGAACCUCUUAGGAAACACAUGCAUGGAUGCAUCUAGCAAAAUC